CAGGACGUGGCUGAGAUAGUUAGGCACCUCCCUUACACCGAGACUACAUCCGUGCAAAUCGGAUCGUCCUGA
rnacentral:tRNA from 1 species